rnacentral:rRNA from 1 species
AAUAAUGUAAUUUAAUUUUUUUGAAAUCAGUUAAUUUUUAUUUUUAUUUUUUAUUAAAGUUUAUUGGGUGAAAUUUUUAAAUUUUAAGUUAAAAUUGAAAUUUGUUUGUGAAUCUGGGAAUCUUAAUUUUUAAACUAGGAUUAGAUACCCUACUAUUUUAAGUGUGAAUAUUAUUUUUCAGAUUAGUAAUAGUUAUGAUCUUGAAAAUUAAAGAUUUUGGCGGUAUUUUAGUCUAUUCAGAGGAACCUGUUCCGUAAUUGAUGAUCCACGAUAAAUUUUACUUUUUUUAGAAAUUUUCAUAUCGUUGUAGUUUGAAUUUAUUUAAAAAUAUUAAUAUUCAUAAUUUUAUAUAAAAAGAAAAUCAGAUCAAGGUGUAGUUUAUAUGAAAGAGAGCAAUGGGUUACAUUAAUAGUUAAUUUGGGAUUAAUUUAUGAGAUUAAAUUUUGAAUUAGGAUUUGAAAGUAAUUUUGCUUAUUUAGGCGUGAUGAUUUUAGCUCUAAGAUAUGCACAUAUUGCCCGUCGCUUUCACUAUAAAGUGAAAUAAGUCGUAACAAAGUAGGCUUACUGGAAAGUGAGCCUAGAAAGACAAAUUAGAGCUUGAAAUAAGCGUUUUACUUACAUUAAAAAUAUAAUUGUUAAAUUCAAUUUAAUUUGAGUAAAAAUUUUUAUUUUUAUUUUAAGAGUUUUUUUUUUGACAGAAGUAUGUUAAAAUUUAUUAUUUUUAAGAAACAUUUAUUUUUAUAAUAGUUGAUUUGUACUGUGAUGGAAUAAUAAUUAAUUUCUAAAAGAAGAAUUUAUUUUUU